UGGGUAAAAUUCUUGUGACCAUUACUUUACAGAAUUGAUUGUGUUUGUUUUCAUAUACAUAGAAACUCACCUAUUGUUUUUAAAUUAUGUUUAGGGUUUCUUGUGGUCUAUGGAUGGUGAACUAUAUGGAAUAUUGGACAGGGUCUUCUCUGUCUAAUAACCUAACUCAGAAUGAUAUAACAAAGUUUAGAUUUAAGCUACCUGCAAUAUUGUGGAACUCAAGAUUAAACACAAAGAAAGGACAUCAAGAGACUGACCAUCAUGCAGAUGAAGAUGGAGGAAGUUCAUGUGAUGUUGAGAUAAUUGAGACUCCUUGUGAGUUACCUAUAUCGUUAAAUGCAUCAUCCCAGGUUCAACCAUUUAUAUCGUCAUGUGCUCUGCCCGCUACAUUAACAUCAACAAACACACAAGAACUGAUGAGUGCAUUAUGCACAUACAUCAUGGAGAUAGACGACGCCGAAUAUUUGGAGAAACAUUGGAUUCAGAGCACCAAGCCUUAUCCAAUUUCUUUAAGCCUUCAACAGCUUAAAAAUAUAUUGGAUGUAAAUAAACCGAUGGAUAAGGAUUGCUUCAACAUAGUUGUUCGGAUGA